CAGUGUCCUUGGAUUACGCACACAAAAAUGUGAACAUUUUAAGAAAACCAGAACUGUGUUGGACUCCAUUUUCACACUGGAAGAAAUGACAACAUGCUCUGUCACAGGAAAAAAAGGAUUUGUUGGUAAACAAAGGCAGAGCCUUUAUAAAGAUAAAGUGAAGCUAGUUAUAGACCAUGUAAAGAAAGUUUACAGAGGCAUUGGUGACUCAGAGAUCAAAGUCUGCAUAGAACAGAAAUUAGAAGACCUGAGGAGACGAACUGAUCACGCCGCCAUUGGCUAACAUCCCUGUCAGUUUCCACCCCUGCCACUGACGUCACUUCCCGGUCCAGAGCUGUAGGCACUGAAAGUUACCACCGGCUUGGCUGUACAGUCAAGCCCUGUACCUUCUCAUGUCUCGUUACCAGCCGAUGUUCCUUUGCGAACGUUUUAUGUUAGUAAGCAUAUAGCUCU